UACCAGCACCCCGAGUGGUCGGGACGAUUAUUGGGCCUAAAGCAUCCGUAGCCGGUCCUACAAGUCUUCCGUUAAAUCCACCUGCUUAACAGAUGGGCUGCGGAAGAUACUAUAGGGCUAGGAGGCGGGAGAGGCAAGCGGUACUCAGUGGGUAGGGGUAAAAUCCUCUGAUCCAUUGAAGACCACCAGUGGCGAAGGCGGCUUGCCAGAACGCUCUCGACGGUGAGGGAUGAAAGCUAGGGGAGCAAACGGG
rnacentral:rRNA from 1 species